GUGAUGAGAACAAAAAUCUUGUGUAUAUUU
rnacentral:piRNA from 1 species